UGGUGGGUAGUUUGACUGGGGCGGUCUCCUCCUAAAGAGUAACGGAGGAGCACGAAGGUUGGCUAAUCCUGGUCGGACAUCAGGAGGUUAGUGCAAUGGCAUAAGCCAGCUUGACUGCGAGCGUGACGGCGCGAGCAGGUGCGAAAGCAGGUCAUAGUGAUCCGGUGGUUCUGAAUGGAAGGGCCAUCGCUCAACGGAUAAAAGGUACUCCGGGGAUAACAGGCUGAUACCGCCCAAGAGUUCAUAUCGACGGCGGUGUUUGGCACCUCGAUGUCGGCUCAUCACAUCCUGGGGCUGAAGUAGGUCCCAAGGGUAUGGCUGUUCGCCAUUUAAAGUGGUACGCGAGCUGGGUUUAGAACGUCGUGAGACAGUUCGGUCCCUAUCUGCCGUGGGCGCUGGAGAACUGAGGGGGGCUGCUCCUAGUACGAGAGGACCGGAGUGGACGCAUCACUGGUGUUCGGGUUGUCAUGCCAAUGG
rnacentral:rRNA from 3 species